rnacentral:rRNA from 1 species
UGCAACUCGCCUGCAUGAAGUCGGAAUUGCUAGUAAUCGCAGAUCAGCAUGCUGCGGUGAAUACGUUCCCGGGCCUUGUACACACCGCCCGUCACACCAUGGGAGUCGGUAACACCCGAAGUCAGGAGCCUGACCUUUUUAGGAGGGCACUGCCGAAGGUGGGAUUGAUGACUGGGGUGAAGUCGUAACAAGGUACC